rnacentral:rRNA from 1 species
UACAGAGGUCCCGAGCGUUGUUCGGAUUUAUUGGGCGUAAAGGGUGCGUAGGCGGCGGAGUAAGUUGGGUGUGAAAUCCCGGGGGCUCAACCUCGGAAUGGCAUUCAAUACUGCUUCGCUUGAGUACUGGAGAGGAGGCUGGAAUUUACGGGUGUAGCAGUGAAAUGCGUAGAUAUCGUAAGGAAGGCCGGUGGCGAAAGCGAGCCUCUGGACAGUUACUGACGCUGAUGCACGAAGGCCAGGGGAGCAAACGGGG